rnacentral:ribozyme from 1 species
ACAUAUUGGGUGAAAAAAAAAAAAAAAAAAAAAAAAAAAAA